CCUACGGGAGGCAGCAGUGAGGAAUAUUGGUCAAUGGACGAGAGUCUGAACCAGCCAAGUAGCGUGAAGGAUGACUGCCCUAUGGGUUGUAAACUUCUUUUAUAUGGGAAUAAAACAUGGUAUGCAUACCCUCUUGUAUGUACCAUAUGAAUAAGGAUCGGCUAACACCGUUCCAGCAGCCGCGGUAAUAGGGAGGAUCCGAGCGUUAUCCGGAUGUAUUGGGUUUAAAGGGAGCGUAGGUGGAUUGUUAAGUCAGUUGUGAAAGUUUGCGGCUCAACCGUAAAAUUGCAGUUGAAACUGGUAGUCUUGAGUACAGUAGAGGUGGGCAGAAUUCGUGGUGUAGCGGUGAAAUGCUUAGAGAUCACGAAGAACUCCGAUUGCGAAGGCAGCUCACUGGACUGCAACUGACACUGAUGCUCGAAAGUGUGGGUAUCAAACAGGAUUAGAUACCCCUGUAGUC
rnacentral:rRNA from 1 species